rnacentral:rRNA from 1 species
UACAGAGGGCGCGAGCGUUGUCCGGAAUCACUGGGCGUAAAGGGCGCGUAGGUGGCCACUAUAAGGCUGCGGUGAAAGUUCGGGGCUCAACCCCGAAUCUGCCGCGGCGACUGUAGGGCUUGGGCACCGUAGAGGCAGAUGGAAUUCCGGGUGUAGCGGUGGAAUGCGUAGAGAUCCGGAAGAACACCAGUGGCGAAGGCGGUCUGCUGGGCGGUGGGAGCGCAAGCUCCUCUUAGCCGACACUGAGGCGCGACAGCGUGGGAGCA